rnacentral:rRNA from 1 species
GAUGAACGCUGGCGGCGCGCCUAAUACAUGCAAGUCGAGCGAACAGACGAGGAUCUUGCUCCUCUGACGUUAGCGGCGGACGUGUGAAUAGCACGUGGAUAACCUACCUAGAAGGCGGGGAUAACUUGGGGAAACCGGAGCUAAUCGCAGAUAAUAUCGUGAACCGCAUGGGUAGAUGGUGAAAGAGGAUUUUGCUUUGAGUUGUAGAUGCAUCCGCGCCGCAUUCGCUAGUUGGUAAGGUAACGGCUUACCAAGGCAACGAUGCGGAGCCGCCAUGAGAGGGUGGUCCGCCACACUGGCAGUGAGACACGGUGCACACUCCUAGAGGAGGACGCAGUAGAGACUCUUACGCAAUGGAGCAGAGCCUGAUGGAGCAAAGCCGCGUGAGUCCUGAAGGUCUUAGGAUCGUAAAACUAUGUUAUUAGGGAAGAACAAAUCUGUAAGUAAUUAUGCACGUAUUGACGGUACUUAAUAAGAAAGCCACGGCUAACUACGUG